UAAAGCUCUGACCUUACGGGACGAGCGCAUUUAUUAGAACAAAACCAAUCGGGUUUCGGCCCGUUCGUUGGUGACUCUGAAUUACUCUGCCGAUCGCACGGUCUCGCACCGGCGACGUAUCUUUCAAGUGUCUGCCUUAUCAACUUUCGAUGGUAGUUUAUGUGCCUACCAUGGUUGUAACGGGUAACGGAGAAUAAGGGUUCGACUCCGGAGAGGGAGCCUGAGAAACAGCUACCACAUCCAAGGAAGGCAGCAGGCGCGCAAAUUACCCACUCUCGGCACGAGGAGGUAGUGACGAAAAAUAACGAGACGGAUCUCUUUGAGGCCCGUUAUCGGAAUGAGAACAAUUCAAAUCCUUUAACGAGGAUCUAGCGGAGGGCAAGUCUGGUGCCAGCAGCCGCGGUAAUUCCAGCUCCGCAGGUGUAUAUCUAUGCUGCUGCGGUUAAAAAGCUCGUAGUUGGAUCUGCGUGCUCGGAACUGGUUGGCUCACUGAGCUCAUACUGGUCUCCGGCGCUUUAUUGGCUGGUUUUCCCUUGAUGCUCUUAACCGGGUGUCUUGGGUGGCUAGCACGUUUACUUUGAAAAAAUUAGAGUGCUCAAUACAGGCGCAAAGCCUUGAAUAGUGGUGCAUGGAAUAAUAGAGUAGGACCUCGGCUCUAUUUUGUUGGUUUUCGGAACGCGAGGUAAUGAUUAAGAGGGACAGACGGGGGCAUUCGUAUUGCGACGUUAGAGGUGAAAUUCUUGGAUCGUCGCAAGACGGACGACUGCGAAAGCAUUUGCCAAGAAUAUUUUCAUUAAUCAAGAACGAAAGUUAGAGGUUCGAAGGCGAUCAGAUACCGCCCUAGUUCUAACCGUAAACGAUGCCAACUAGCGAUUCGCAGGCGUUAAACAACGACCUUGCGGGCAGCUUCCCGGAAACGAAAGUGUUCGGGUUCCGGGGGAAGUAUGGUUGCAAAGCUGAAACUUAAAGGAAUUGACGGAAGGGCACCACCAGGAGUGGAGCCUGCGGCUUAAUUUGACCCAACACGGGAAAACUCACCCGGCCCGGACACCGUAAGGAUUGGCAGAUUGAGAGCUCUUUCUUGAUUCGGUGGGUGGUGGUGCAUGGCCGUUCUUAGUUGGUGGAGCGAUUUGUCUGGUUUAUUCCGAUAACGAACGAGACUCUGGCCUACUAAAUAGUGGGCGGAUUCUUUCUGUCCGCAACACUUCUUAGAGGGACAAGCGGUGUUCAGCCGCACGAGAUUGAGCAAUAACAGGUCUGUGAUGCCCUUAGAUGUCCGGGGCUGCACGCGCGCUACACUGAAGG
rnacentral:rRNA from 1 species